UGGCCAAUCAGAGGCUGUUUCUGGGCAGAUUCAUCAGCUGGAGGUUUGUGAAAGGCUGUUUUAGAGCUGAACCGUCUUCUCUGCCUCUAAAAGAAAGAUACACUUGUCUUACAGCAGCAAAGGAGUCACCUAACUGAACUUUGGAAGAUUGAAGACGAGUCGUGCUGCUGCAUUCUGAAUUAGUUGCCGGGGUUUGGUAGCUCGCAGCGGAAGACCAGCCAGAAGAGUUGCAACUUGUGUACCGUGCAGUUAUGCAGCUAAUUUUGAUGUUCGUGAAGCAACUGAGAGACACUGAAAGACAGCAGAAGCAAACAAGACCCUCAGGGCCCUCUCCCUCCCUGAUGGUUGAUCUGUCCUACCAGAAGAAGAAGCCCUGGUUCCCUUUGUCUCCCUUUUACCCCGCUGACCCUCUACGCAGCAGAGCUAAAAGGAAAGUACAUGCAAUAUCUGGUGAUGGGCUACCUUGCCACAUCGCAGUGCCCCAUGUGAAAGUUUAUUAUUUACAGUAACUGCAAAUAGCAACUGAUACUGGGAGAUUAGAUGCUUAAUGAGGGACACUGGUAGUGUAAAGAGCAGUCUUUUUGUUGGCUAAGAACUGCAAUGCAAGUCCUAUCUAAUGGGGGAUAUAAGCUGGCAGAAGAAAAGUCAAAAGGAAAGGUGUACGUUUGUGAGAACUGUUGAGUAAACUUUGUCUUAUUACUUUUAGUGUGUCUCAAUUUAAUUGAAUGUGCAGUGGUACUGAAAAAGUUUGGGCAUCCCUGAUAAUUUUCUGAUAAAUCAUUGGUUGUUUAGAUCAGCAAUUUCUGUUAAAUAUAUCAUAUAGCAUAUAAACACAUUGAUAUUUUAGAAGUUAAAUUAAGCUUAUACGAUUGACAGAAAGUGUGCAAUAAUUCUUUAAACAAAAUAAGGCAGGUGCAUAAAUUUUGGCACUCCAACAAAAAAAUGACAUCAAAAUUUAGCAGAUCCUCCUUUUACAGAAAUAACAGCCUCUAAACGCUUCCUAUAGCGAGAGUUUAAUGAGAGUCUAGUUGGUUCUGGUUGAAGGUAUUUUGGACCAUUCUUCUUUACAAAACAUCUCCAGUUCAGUCAGGUUUGAUUACACUGCUCUGUCGCGUCAACGCACAUGGUCACACUGCCCCCCUCCAACUGGUCGCAUGUGGGCGUGACAAAGGCGUUCCCUGCGUCGUCCAAUUAAAUCGUUCUAAAAAAAUUGAAUGCUUUUAUACAAGCUAUUAUUAUUUUCUAUAAAUUAAAAAAUAUAAAUGUGUAUUAAUAAAUAUAAAUGUUUGAUUGAGCUUUAUUACA
rnacentral:lncRNA from 1 species